CAGCAGUGGGGAAUAUUGCACAAUGGGCGCAAGCCUGAUGCAGCCAUGCCGCGUGUAUGAAGAAGGCCUUCGGGGUUGUAAAGUACUUUCAGCAGUGAGGAAGGUGGGUAUCGUUAAUAGCAUAUUCAUUUGACGUUAGCUGCAGAAGAAGCACCGGCUAACUCCGUGCCAGCAGCCGCGGUAAUACGGAGGGGUGCGAGCGUUAAUCGGAAUUACUGGGCGUAAAGCGCAUGCAGGUGGUUUGUUAAGUCAGAUGUGAAAGCCCGGGGCUCAACCUCGGAAUUGCAUUUGAAACUGGCAAACUAGAGUACUGUAGAGGGGGUAGAAUUUCAGGUGUAGCGGUGAAAUGCGUAGAGAUCUGAAGGAAUACCGGUGGCGAAGGCGGCCCCCUGGACAGAUACUGACACUCAGAUGCGAAAGCGUGGGGAGCAAACAGGAUUAGAUACCCUGGUAG
rnacentral:rRNA from 1 species